CCUACGGGUGGCAGCAGUGGGGAAUAUUGCACAAUGGGGGAAACCCUGAUGCAGCGACGCCGCGUGAGUGAAGAAGUAAUUCGUUAUGUAAAGCUCUAUCAGCAGGGAAGAAAAUGACGGUACCUGAGUAAGAAGCCCCGGCUAACUACGUGCCAGCAGCCGCGGUAAUACGUAGGGGGCAAGCGUUCUCCGGAUUUACUGGGUGGAAAGGGAGCGUAGACGGCAGUGCAAGUCUGGAGUGAAAGGCGGGGGCUCAACCCCCGGACUGCUCUGGAAACUGUACGGCUGGAGUGCAGGAGAGGUAGGUGGAAUUCCAGGUGUAGCGGUGAAAUGCGUAGAUAUUAGGAGGAACACCAGUGGCGAAGGCGGCUUACUGGACUGUAACUGACGUUGAGGCUCGAAAGCGUGGGGAGCAAACAGGAUUAGAUACCCUUGUAGUC
rnacentral:rRNA from 1 species